AGCUCAGCUUAGCAAAAUGAAACGCUCGGUUGACAGAACCAAAAGCUGUCACAUUGCUUGUGACAGUUGCUUGCCGAACAGAUCGCAACUUUUUCUUUUCCAGCGCCGGUCGCGCGCGAUUUUUCCCCGAUUUUUCCGCGAACGUGCGCGGGAAACUCCACGUGAGUGUGUGUGUGUGUGUGUGUGUGUGUGUUGUUUGUGUGUUAAAAGCAAUGGCAGCGAAAGCGAAGGAUGUGUGUGUGUGUGUGAAACGAGUUGGAGGUUUAGCAAACAGUGCCUGUAGGUGCGUUCGAAAUUAACCAGACAGAACAACAAAGCAAAAACAUUAGCAGAUAGAAGCCCGUGCGUGUGUGUGUGCUCGCGCGUUCCAGCAGAAUUCAAAGCGGCCCCACCGAAAAGGGGGCUUUUGUGAAACAUCCUAACGGCACACGAAGAACAAAUUGCACACUACACCUUCUCACACAAACAAACAAAAAAAAACAUCCAGUGUGGGAAGGUAGAACUGUGCCCACCCCCAGAAACAGGAAACAGAAGUGUCGUCCUGGGUGGCACCUAACUCGCACGCGCGCCUUUCUUCCCAGUGCGCUCGCACCGUACAGGCCAUUCAUCUCACCGGCGAGGGCCACGCUGGAGCCGACGUUGCGCGCAAUCGCCGGCGGGGUGUGGCGGAUGCAGCAGCAGAGCUGCUGCAGCCCGGGCACACCGUGCAGCACCAGGAUGAAGCCGCUGCGGAACCGGGCGUUCAUGUAGCAGUAGAUGAUCGGGUUGUAGCAGCUGUGCGACAUCGCGAGCCAGUGGAAGGCGAACCAGAAGUACGGCAGCAGGUCCCACGAGGACGGGAGCUUCAUCAGCUGCGGGCGAGAGGAGACGGGGAGGGUGGUGUAAUGCUGCAAUGGAAGCGAAACGGUGCCCCUCUUACCAUUAGGAAGUUGAACGGCAGCCAGCAGAUGGUGAACACGAUUACCACGGUCACCAUCAUCUUGAUCAUCUGGAACGGGAAGAAAUCAACACCGAGGAUGGAAGAAAAUUGGCUGUGGAAAGCUCCCAACUAGCGGACCGCACCAGACUGGAAACACGACCAACGAACUGCCAAGGGUUUCGCUUACAGGAAUCGUACUGGAAAAAUUGACUGUAACCUGUCGGCCAUCCAGGUGCCCCGUACAAAAUCCGACUAUCGCCGAAGAAAAACAUUCAAACGUACUGGCGCACCGUGCCGUAAGCUACCGAUCACUGGGCACUGGGCUCUGUUGUUUUAGGUUCAAGGGGCCCGUAAAAAAAUCGUUUUGCCCACCUUGUGUGUGUCUAGCGCUUUCGUUUAGCAGUGAUUUACUUGCGCCAUUUAAUUCGGGCUUUCCGAGCUUUGCGCUUUAAAUCUUUGGCUCCGAUAAUGCGGCUGUUUUUUUUUUUUGCUUCAACAAUUUUCAUGCAAACAAGUGACAGAGAAAGAGAGAGGGAGGAAAAUUGUCAGGCGGCACGAUGGCGUAAUUUAUGCUCUCGUCAGUGGGACGGUUUUUUUGUGUGUGUGGUGUGCCCUAUUUCCCUCAUUCUUUAUUCAUAAUAUCAAACGGUUUGCUCUACCGUCUGAAUGUUCGCAGCAAAAGUUUUGCGGUGCCUCUGUACUCCCACAACAAGGGUGUGUGUGUGUGUUUCAGGGUACAUCCAGCAGCACCGCUUCCCUCCGGUGCAGGCUAAUGAAAAUAUUGUGUAAAUACUUUUUACACGACAGCCAAAAAGCGACCGACCGAGGCGGAUACGGCGUUCCGGUUUGGAAUGGAGAAGGUUUUUUUUUUUAUUAUUAUUUCUUAUUACCCAGUGGAUUUGUACGGACCUGUACCGUGGAGCUGAGGGUGGUGUCUGUCUCGCUUACCGGAAUGAAGGACAAAAAGUGUGCACACCCCAAAACGUAUAGUGGGCGCCUCUGUGUUUUUUUCCCCUCCUAUUUACAGGCGUUUUUACAAGUGACACAGUGUAGUAGCAACUGCUCCGGCGUCUUGACAAAGCUCCAAGUGAAGCUUACUGAUAAUGAUAAGUAGAUCGUCCGCUCAAACCCACUUGUUGAUUUAUUUAUUUAUUUAUUUUUUUUUGGUUUCUGAUUCGUUUUGAGGGUUCGAGUAAAGUUUUGACGUCUUCUUCGCACCGAAUAGGCAAACGAGGCUUUCUCGAAUUAAUUAUUACAGAGAAUAGAGAGAGAGAGAGAGACCCAAAACAAAAAAAAAAGGUUUUACCUUUUAAUCUGUCGUAUUAAGCGACGAACGCUUGCUUGGUAGGCGACACAUUCGGUUUGUUUGCUUUCGCUCCUCAUUAAUUAAGUAACAAAAUAUGCGUCAAAACAUUAUUACUACACGGGGCGCCUUUUUCAAUUGCAAAAAAAAUGGAAAUCCCUCUGAGUCUGGUAUCGUAAGUACAGCUUCGAGGGUUCUAUGUAAUUUGAUUAUUUUAAUACAAAUCCAAUGAGAAACAUUUGUCAAGUCCAAUAUGUGCACAAAAAGGUAACGAAAAUGUAUAAAAAAAAGAGCUAUUUAUGACGUCAGUUUGAAAUUGAUUUACUGGGGCAAUUUGCCGAUUAUUGCACAGUUUAGGAAAAGCUGAAUUAUUUUUAUGUUUAAAGCCUGAUAAAAUCACAAUUUUCUUGUUAUUUUUGUCUACUAAAUAACAGUUAUGUAUGAAAAAUACUAAUUAUAUCUUUCUUGGUCAGAAUAUUCAUGGAUAAUGUCAAUAAUUACUGAUUGCCUGAACAUACUCAAAAAUCAAAUGAUUGCCCCCUAGCACAAGUUAUUGUCAAUCGCUGUUACCAGUUGUUGUACCAUUUAUUUGAAUGUUUAAACUAUCACAAAUCGUCAGGUUUGCUUUACGACUGCAUCUAGCUCAAAAUCCAACCAGCCUUCCAUAAUUUGUGUCCUUACUAGCGAGCUCUACCAUUGAUUCCUAAACCGUAGAAGGUUGUACGCACUGUUUUGAGUGGAAAAUAGCUUCGGAAGCCCUUGUCAUAGUUCUCAUACAACGAUGUCGUAGUGCACGAGAAUCGUAGAUAUUUGUAGAUGUGCAAAAGAACCUCUACGAGAACCUUCUCCAGUGUUCAGCUCUCUUCAGCUUGUCCAAUGAACGAUUUGACUGUGGUGUUAAUGAGCGUCCUUUAACAUCUUUUGUGAUUCUUUUAGGCACUAUUUCAUCGGACGUCGUAUAAACAACGAAAAAGUUAUCUGAUUGCUUCUAGCAAGGCAUCGAGAAAAGCAUCCACUGCGUCGACGUCAUUAUGGAUACAACCUACACUUUCGAAAGCCAGAUCGUAUGAUGCGAAAACGAGGUUUUGCUGUGUGCAGUAAAGUAGGAUCGAACAGCAUUCUUUGAUCGAAUUAUAGAACAGUUGAUUACUGUGGAUGCAUUUUCUUCCAAAACUUGUAGAUCUGAGCGGUUCAUAAUGGCUGCAUAGGCAUAGAACACGAGGUAAAACACACCUUGUUUUUGGGUAAUGUUUUCAAAUGGUUUUUGUUCUUGUUUCCCAGGAUAUCAGGGUUUCUAAUAAUCUGUCCAGCAGUGUGUAGUUUCUGUACCAUCGCGGGAACGCUUGAUGGAACGCGUUUCCAAUAGCAUUUAUUCAUUCAUUAGAAAUAGAUGUUUCAAAUAAGCAAAACAGCUAUACGCAUUGCAAGAAAACCCAUUUUAAAGCGCAAUACGUGUGUUGUGUUGAAUUUUCGAAUAGGACGGACAACUGGUUCGAGAAAGAGCAUACGAAAUUUCCUAUUGGGAAAUUACUCGAGUAUGCGACCCCAGCAAGCUAGUUGGACUUGUUAAUAGGCCGUCAAGGCCAAUUUUUCCACCAAGUCAAAAUUCAACUUUUGAAUCUUUGCAAAUCUAUAGAAUCUCUUACAGGGUUUCCCACGAUUUAUUGAUUAGUUCCCAUAAAUUUUUGGUGGGUUCCCAUAUUUUGUU